CCACCCUUAUCGCCGAAUUUCUUCGGCUGUGGAAGAAAGCGGGGGACCCAAAGUAAGGGGUUAAUCCGCACACUACCUGUGCGGUAGGGCUAGGUACUCGGCCCGCACCCGUCAGCUAACCCCGUAGGCGUGAGAGCCGGGUGGA
rnacentral:sRNA from 2 species